CUACGGGAGGCUCCAGUGAGGAAUAUUGCACAAUGGGGGGAACCCUGAUGCAGCAACGCCGCGUGGAGGAUGACGCAUUUCGGUGUGUAAACUCCUUUUAUAUGUCAAGAAAAUGACGGUAGCAUAUGAAUAAGCACCGGCUAACUCCGUGCCAGCAGCCGGCGGUAAUACGGAGGGUGCAAGCGUUACUCGGAAUCACUGGGCGUAAAGGACGCGUAGGCGGGUUGGAAAGUCAGGUGUGAAAUCCUACAGCUUAACUGUAGAACUGCACUUGAAACUUCUAAUCUAGAGCAUGGGAGGGGGAGAUGGAAUUAGUGGUGUAGGGGUAAAAUCCGUAGAUAUCACUAGGAAUACCUAAAGCGAAGGCGAUCUCCUGGAACAUUACUGACGCUAAGGCGUGAAAGCGUGGGGAGCAAACAGGAUUAGAUACCCUGGUAGUC
rnacentral:rRNA from 1 species